AAGUCGUAACAAGGUCUCCGUUGGUGAACCAGCGGAGGGAUCAUUACAGAGUUAUAAAACUCCCAAACCAUUGUGUAUAUACUUAUUGUUGCCUCGGCAGUUUGUUUUCAGGCUGCCGAAGGCCUUAUAAACUCUGUUAUUUUGGUAAUCUGAGCGUCUUAUUUAAUAAGUUAAAACUUUCAACAACGGAUCUCUUGGUUCUG
rnacentral:misc_RNA from 1 species